GUGCAAAUGCAAGCAUUGUUGUGAUUGUUAUGCCUUCUGUUUCUUUGAUCCUCAGAAAAGAUAGCGAAGCGGGAGAGGCCUGUGCACUCAUUUUAAAGAGGAGGAAACCAAGUCUCGGAGCUAGCAGCGGGCGCUGGCGCUGGUCCCUUCAGGGCACCUCGCCCACCUCCACCUGUGUCUCUGUUGAUGUCUGUCCCGGUGGAGCCCUGCUGGCUGAUGCACUCAGCCCUGGGCCCUGGCGCUGCUGCAGGCUCCCCCUGCCAGGCAGCCCAACCCUGCCUGCAGGUAAUGAAGAUGGCACCUGACGAAUGUCACUCGUCAUGAGGCAGUGGCUCCCCCUGGACUGCCUCCUGCCCGAGUUCAUGAGAAGCAAUUUACUGUGUGUCAAGUGACCGCAGGAGAUCGAGGAAGGCCCCGCCCCGUGCCACCCUGGGCUUCUGGCGGAGAGGUGGGCUGCCAAGCAGGGUGACUAGCAGCCUUUGAUUACAGCUGGGAAGGAAUGGUGCCCAUGACCCAGCUAAACCGAGAACCCAGACCAGCUCUGCAGAUUCAGAGGGGCCCAGAGCCUUGCUUCCGUCACCCUCGUCGGAAGGGUGUCCUCCCCCAGACGCCUCAGCUCUAAGAGCUGAGCCAGAGCAGGGCCCCCGGCGCCUCCCAAAGCCAGCCCUGCCCUCCACGGAGCCGCCUGCUGUGCCCAGCUCAGGGGUGAGUGGACAGGCCUGGCUGCAGUGCGCUCCGAGUGCAGGCAGGGUGGCAAGGACCACGCCAGGCUCUAGCCCGGGCCCAGAGGUGGCUCGGCCAAGAGGCUGCAUCUUGCAGACAGAAGCUGCCAGCCGUUCACGGGGAUUGCUGGGAUGCUGAGCAUUGCUGGGGUUCACACGAUGGUGGAUUCCAGCAUUAUCGUCUCUGAACUCUCAUGUGGACGGAAAUACUUGCAGCCCUGCUCCUGCCAUCAGAGUCGAAGAGGAGCAGAAGAUGAAGUUGGAGAUAUGGUCCUUCUAUAUGAGUAAGGCUCAUUAUUGUGUCUGGCAGGCCAGAGGCGUGGGCACUGGUUAGUCACAUUCCAGCCUGAGCUUCAUCACAAGUUAGCCACUGACCGCCCACCAUGUGCCAGGCUGGGGACCCAGAGGUGGAGGGGGCACAGCCUCUGCCUUGGAAGAACACUCAGGCUAUGUGGGAGACAGACGUGCAAACUUUCGACAGUAGCACCUUGUGAUCCAAGCUGGACAGAGGGACGGUCAGGGGCUAUAACCUUAACCCUGAAGGGUGGGGAUCAUCCCGGGAGGUGGUGUUACAGCAGCUGGGUCAAGAAGGACGGCAAGGGGCCAGUGAGCCAACGGGGGAUGCGAGAGGAGGUAGGGCUGCCAGGCAGGGGACCUGCCUGGAGAGGGCCCAGGAAGUCAGAGGGGUACAGUGGUUGGCAGAGACCAGAUCACAGAGGGCCGUGGAUGUAUUGCCAAAGUCAGGGAUAGACUCCACCCAGGGGACUAGGGGAGCCCUGCGGGUCAUGGAUGGGGAGGGUCGUCUGACUUGGAUGGAUAACCCAUUUGGGGUGGGAGGUUUGGGGAAGGGGCGGGCGGGGGCAGGGUGCCCAUGGAGGCUAGUGUAGGAAGCCAGACUAAAGGUGAGUGUGGCCCGAACCAGGGUGAUAGUGACCAUGGGAACCAAGAGCAGGUGGCCCAUUGAGACUGGCUCUAGAGAAAGCAUGGAUGGCCUGGGGCAGGGAGAGGAGAGACUGGUUCUAGAGAAAGCAUGGAUGGCCUGGGGGCAGGGAGAGGAGAGACUGGUUCUAGAGAAAGCAUGGAUGGCCUGGGGGCAGGGAGAGGAGAGACUGGUUCUAGAGAAAGCAUGGAUGGCCUGGGGGCAGGGAGAGGAGAGACUGGUUCUAGAGAAAGCAUGGAUGGCCUGGGGGCAGGGAGAGGAGAGACUGGUUCUAGAGAAAGCAUGGAUGGCCUGGGGGCAGGGAGAGGACAAUCAAGGACUCCCAGGUACAAGCCGGGUCAGCAGGGUGGCGGGUGGCGCCAGCAGCUCAGCCCGGGCGAUUUCCCAUGGAGACCUGGAGCCAGAGAACGAGAGGAUGAGGAUGUGAGACAGCACCACUGAGUCUACAUCCCCGAUGGGCCCCUCAGCACGUGUGGGAGGGAAGGAGACAUUGGCGUAGCUGCGGCUCCUUAAAUGCCUCAUGGGUCGCCUUCUUAAAGACCUUGACAGCAAGCAAGUCCAGGAAAGAGGACACCCAGGGUGCACCAGGCGCCAUGCCAGGCACUGUACACAGGAGGCCCAGGAACCUCAGGAGACUCUCAUCAGCCUGUCCAUCGCUGCUGUCGGGCCACAGAGGUUUCGUUGAUGCUCCAGAUGCUUAAUUCACCCGGUGAGCCAGCCAUUCCUGAUGUCCAAUAGAAGUGAGCUACACUCGUUAUUCUCUCUCAGAUGAGGUUUGAAAAAUGUUUUGUUUUCAAAAUGCCUUUGUUUUGAAAAAUGCCUUCAAUUUAAGCUUUGUUUUUGUAAAAUUAGUGAGUAUCUCAUUUGGCAAGUUUGAAACACCCAAAACAAGCAAAAAAUGCUGGUGGAAGGGAAAGGAAAAAAGAGGAGAGAGGGGAAGGCUGGUGGGGCCAUGGGCCUUCAGUUGCUGUUUUCCCUGAGCUCGAUCAGGAAAAACAAAACACCCAGGCCUGGGGCCGCUCUCACAAGCGGCCUCAGACGAGUGUUUACUUCACCUCCUUCCAUUAGCUCUUAAGAGGAGCCAAUAGAAAAGACCUUGAAAAUGGUAAGGAACACCAUGAAAGAGACAUAUUAUUCUGCCUGGAUGGUAAAAUAUGGCCUUGUGAACUACGUGCUAGCUUCCCAUGCUCACUCAAAGAUGAUUUUAAUAUUAAACGUAUUCCUUUCAUUGACUAAGACAUACACUAACUAGGGAGAAAAUGUUUUCCAAAAUUUAAACUUAAAUCUGUUAAUAAGCACAAAUCUUCAUAAAAAAGUCAGAAGUACAUGGAGACUAGCAGCCUAACCUUAGACGGGAAGCCAUCUGUGACUUUAGAACAAGGGUUUUUACUCACUGGAGGGGGCACACUUUUGUGAAAUGCUAAACCAAAUACCACGGAACAUUAUUAUGGCUUCAAAAACUAGUUACAGGCUUCAAUAAGCACACUUUUAUCACAAGAACACACAAUCUAAAGCCAAAAUAGUUCAGUUUAAUACGCCAAAAAUAUGCUCACCCCAUACAUUGUUAGAAAGAGCAGUAGGAAAAAAAAUCUAAAAUUUGCUGCUAAUUCAUUUGACGGCAGCCAACGUCUCCUAUCUUUCUUGGCAAGAGGGCCAUUUUUCUAUGCUGUAUUUUGCACACAGAAAUCUGCAUAGAGUGAUUUGCAUACCAAAAACACGUUUGUAAAAGAAACUACUUGCACAGAAGCCAGGGAGAGAUGGGGUUGCCACUGUUGGCUUCUAUACACACAACGCCCCCAGGCUACUUGCUUUCCUUUUUCAAACAUACUGCAUUUCCCGCAAAGGGUUAUGCACUUUAUGAUGCAUUAAAAAUUAAAGCAAAUAUAUCUUUUAUAUAUCCAAGAGCAACCAUAACAACGAUAACAACACAGGCUAAAUAUUUCCAUGCUAACAGUCUUCAACUUUUUGCUAAGGGGCUGGGAAUAAUAAGUGCUAUAAUAUAUUGAGCUUUUAUUUUAUACCAUGUCUUUUACAUAAAUUAUUGCUAAUUCUCGCCAUCAGUCUUCAAGGCCAGUGCUGUGGCUCCCCGUUUUACAUGAGGAAACUAGGCUUGGGGAGGUGAGGUGGCUCCCCAAAGCCGCGCAGGCCAGCAGCAGCAGCGAAGCCAGGUUUGGAAGUCUGGUCUGACUGCUCUGCCCCUUCCUGCCACCCUGUUCCCCACUGCCUCUCUCUUUCCCCGGUUUUGCCAAAUACCUUUGUUUCAUUUCCAAGGCUGGGUCUACCAGGCUGAGGGGUGGGGGAGUCAUGCUGGCAGAGGUAAUCACUUGGGUUUCCUGGCCUUUUUCUCUGACGAGCCUGGAAGCAGGGCAGCUAGUCUCAAGGCUCAGGGAAGGAGCCCAGGAAAGCAGUGCAGUGACAGACAGGGUGGAUGGGCAGUGGCCUGGGGUGCGGAGGGCACCGGGGGCGGGGAGACAGAUGGGUGGCUGCACAAAGAAGGUACGCGGUAGUUGAGAUGCAAUGGAACCCUCCCACUCGGUGCCCAUGCGCUGUCACCAGUUCAGUGCCAGCCCAGCUGUAUUCUUGGAAACACAGAACGGUUUUGUGUGUACUUAAUUAUAAUGCUACUUACAGACAAUUUGUCAGCAGCAAAUCAGAGGCUUGAUGCACUUCUUAAGAAAAAAAAAUUGGUAGUGGUUCUUUGAAAUGUGUCCAUCUGAUGAAUCCUUUGGAUUCUUCCAGUAUACAGCAUUUGAGAGAAAUCGGCCAUUUCUGGAAUGUCAAUCGGGGGGAAAGUACAAAAUGAAAAGACUGAGGAUGUCUGCAAAAAAAAAGAUUAUCAACAUUUGCUUUCCUUAAGAUGUUUCUUUGUGUAUUUUUUCUCACCUAGUUUCUCUUUUCCAGGGCACGAUAGCAAAAUUUACACCUAAUCCUCUCUCGUUACCCGUGGAUCGCCAGUGCCCGGAGAUUCCUGGCUUUGAGACUUCGUUAUGUAUUAGUCACUGUUAGAAAGCAGUUUUUCUGACACUUUCAGUAAUAAAUCCCUUUGAUAUGAUCUAUGGUAGCUCUGCCUCAUAGCAAGUUCCAGGCUAAAGCAAGUAAUGGAAUAGCAAACUGCUCUGGAGGCAGGCAGACCUGGUUUGAAUCCUGGUUCUGUCACUAUGGUUUUACCUUACUUAAUCUUUCUGACACUCAGUUUCUUCAUCUGUAAAACGGGGAAAAGCAUAUGAGGGCAGAACCUGGUUGCCCAUCCAACAGCCAUUUCCCUCUUCAUCCUUGCUAACAACAGUGACGACAACGAAAAAUCCUGAUUUUGUUCCAGUCCCGAAGUGCGAAAUCCCAGCAGAUGCGCUGCGUUGAUCUAAACCCUGCAUUCCUGUUGUCAGUGACUGGUUUACAGGGUCUACAGGAAAGCGUGUGACCUAAUUCUGGCCAAGGAUGCUGAAGAGGAAACCUGCCAGAAGCUUCCGAGAAAGAUUUUCCUCUCUGAUAAGAGAGACCCUUGAAGAGAAGGCCCAUCUGCCUUCAUCCACUGGCUCCCUGACCCACGCUGUUUGGUGCUGUGGCAGCCGUCUCUUGAACACGAGGGGAACGAUCACUGACACACUAAAGAUGGCAGAGCAGAAGGACCGAAAGAGCCUAGGGCCUUGGGGACAACACUGAUCUAUUGAGCCGACCUUGGUCCACCUAUCUCCAGAUUUCUUGUUAACAACGUCUUUAUGGUUUAACCUAUUGCGUAUUGAGUUUUGUGUUGCUUGCAGUCAAAAACAAUCCUAACUGACACAAAUACCAACCCCACAAGAUGGUUGUAAAUAAAUGAUACAUUGUAUGUAAAGUACUUAACACAAUACCUGGCACAGUAAGUGGUUGCUAUAUAUAUAUAUUAACAACAUUUAUGAGACAUGGGUAAUGAUCUAAAAGAGCAAAAGUUUCAAAACACAACACAGAUAAAUAAGAUGAACGGUACCGAUUUAGCAUGACAAAAAAGCUUUAUAUUCUCGGUAAGGGUGAGAGGAGACACUGAGGUACAAGACUAUGAUUACAGCCUCAAAUCCUCAUAUCUGGGAGUAAGAUGUAACUAUAGGCAGAAUGUGAACGCUAUUGGAGAUGAAAGGACUGUGGUUCUUGGCCAGGUUUCCAUCCAGCCUCUUACAACAGACAAUCACCCUGUCAGCAGCUCCGAUUCAUGUCUGAAGACCAACAAUUACAUGUGAAUUACCAGCCUUGCAAAGGGGCAGAAUUCUUUCAACUCACAGAAUCUCUUUCCAGAAUACCAAAUUUUACUAGUUGUUUUUUUUUAAGAUUGGCACCUGGGCUAACAACUGUUGCCAAUCUUUUUUUUUUUUUUCUGCUUUAUCUCUCCAAAGCCCCCCUGUACACAGUUGUAUGUCUUAGUUGCAGGUCCUUCUAGUUGUGGGAUGUGGGACGCCGCCUCAACGUGGCCUGACGAGUGGUGCCAUGUCCACGCCCAGGAUCCGAACCCUGGGCCGCCACAGCCAAGCGUGCGAACUUAACCACUGGGCCACGGAGCCGGCCCCAUACUAGUAUUUUCUUAAAAAUAUGUUAUUUCUUUAUAGCAGGAAAGAUAGAUAUACUGACAUAUAUUUAAAAUAUAAUACUCAUUGAGGAAUAUGUUGUCCUAGAUAUCACCUACCAUCUCGGAGCACUGUAGCAACUCAGAGGACUAUGUAUACUUUACACAUGAGACACCAGUUUUUGAAACAACCUACUAGAACACAAAGAAAGAAUACAGUAAAAUAACAUGGGAAAAUACCUAGCUAAUAGAGGUCAUGUCAUGUAAUCAAUACUCAAAGUAAACCAGAUUUUUUUCUUCACUCUGUUUUAGCAAAGAGGCAAAUGACAAGAUUUCAAACCAACACUGAGGAUUAGACACACACACUCAUAUCCACUGCUGUCUAGGGUCAGCGCACAUCCACCCCGAAGCCCAGUGCUCUCUCCAGCGACAGUGCCGUGCGACGAGUGUUGAUUGUCAUAACUGGUGGCUCAUGAGGCUUCACAAAUCCCAGAAUUAUUAAUCGUAUUCAGCAUACAAUAAAAGAGAAGUAAUCAGACAUAUGGACAAAAAUCUGUCAAGGAUUGAAAACAAAAGGUGAUUUCUGGUUACCUUGCAGUUCAUUAAAUAAAAUCACCAAUUCCUGAACAUUUUGGUUAACUGAGAUUUUCUUGUACACUGUACACACACCUGCUUUUCUCAAAAUAUAUCUGCUCCUUUUUCUUUCUUACAAUAAAGGGCAAAACUGUUGGUG
ensembl:lncRNA